UGCCAAAUAGAUCAGACUUCUCACUUGCACAUAUUUUUUCCUCCUGACUCAAUUUCAUAUCACAUAAAUUAAAAAUACCUUGACUGAACAGCCAACCUUCACUUUCCAACCAUGUGAGCAGAGGGAGAAUUUGCAUCUUCAAUCACUGAAAAUGUUGCAAAACCACAGCAUUAGCUCCUGAUGACAGCCUGGAUGAGUCCCUGCAGUGUUCUUUGAAGUUUUCAGAGUCAUCUCCACUCUUGAUGUUAAGCAUCAAAUGAAACUCACCAAAUGGUUCUGAUGGAAAGCACAUUUAAAUUCUUUCUGAGCUCCUCAGUUACUACCCAAGAAUGAUUCAUUACCGCACAGAGCCAACAUUUCCUGCCAGGCUGCAAGCCAUUUCUCCGGAAGUAAACAGAAAAAAAGUAGCAUGCAACUGCAGUACAGCCACUGGAUGAGAAUGGCAAGCUGGACAUUCCUGUCGUGGCCAGAUGGGUUAAGGAUGCAAAUAAAGAGUAAAGAAGAUGAAUAAAGAAGAUGCCAUAGGCACAAAAGGCUAGAGGGACCAUCUGAAGAAUUUCCAGAACUGUAUCUUCUUCCAUGAAAAAUCAGCUUUGGUCCUUCCAUGGUGAUUGAUUAUGUGCCAUCAAAUGGUUUUCCAUUCCUAGCAACCCCAUGGAUUUUCUCCAUGAUGAUCUAUGUGUCCCUAACAGAGUCUUUCAGAUCUUCCAACACUGCAUCCAUUGUUGCCAUAACUGAGUCCAUCCACCUUGCUACGGGUCAUGUUCUUCUCUUUGUUUUCACCUUUUUCAACAUUAGACCCUUCCCCAGAAAGUUGGGUUUUUGCAUAAAGUGUUGGAAGCAGGAUAAUUUGAGUCUUGUCAUUUGGGC